rnacentral:rRNA from 1 species
UAAUACGAAGGGGGCUAGCGUUGUUCGGAAUUACUGGGCGUAAAGCGCGCGCAGGCGGUCUUCCAAGUCAGUGGUGAAAGCCUGGAGCUCAACUCCAGAACUGCCAUUGAAACUGUUAGACUUGAGUACGAGAGAGGUGAGUGGAAUUCCCAGUGUAGAGGUGAAAUUCGUAGAUAUUGGGAAGAACACCAGUGGCGAAGGCGGCUCACUGGCUCGUAACUGACGCUCAGGCGCGACAGCGUGGGGAUCAAACAGGAUUAGAUACCCUGGUAGUCCACGCCGUAAACGAUGAAUGCUAGCCGUUGGAUAGCUUGCUAUUCAGUGGCGCAGCUAACGCAUUAAGCAUUCCGCCUGGGGAGUACGGCCGCAAGGUUG